UGAUCCUGGCUCAGGAUGAACGCUAGCGGCAGGCUUAACACAUGCAAGUCGAGGGGUAACAGGGAUUGCUUGCAAUCCGCUGACGACCGGCGCACGGGUGCGUAACGCGUAUGCAACCUACCUUUUACAAGGGGAUAGCCCAGAGAAAUUUGGAAUAAUACCCUAUACGAUCAUUAAUUGGCAUCAAUUAAUGAAGAAAACUCCGGUGGUAAAAGAUGGGCAUGCGUCCUAUUAGUUAGUUGGUAAGGUAACGGCUUACCAAGACUUCGAUAGGUAGGGGUCCUGAGAGGGAGAUCCCCCACACUGGUACUGAGACACGGACCAGACUCCUACGGGAGGCAGCAGUGAGGAAUAUUGGACAAUGGAGGCAACUCUGAUCCAGCCAUGCCGCGUGCAGGAAGACGGCCCUACGGGUUGUAAACUGCUUUUAUACAGGAAGAACUAUAUCUACGUGUAGAUAUUUGACGGUACUGUACGAAUAAGGAUCGGCUAACUCCGUGCCAGCAGCCGCGGUAAUACGGAGGAUCCAAGCGUUAUCCGGAAUCAUUGGGUUUAAAGGGUCCGUAGGCGGUCUAAUAAGUCAGAGGUGAAAUCCUACAGCUCAACUGUAGCAUUGCCUUUGAUACUGUUAGACUUGAGUUAUUGUGAAGUAGUUAGAAUGUGUAGUGUAGCGGUGAAAUGCAUAGAUAUUACACAGAAUACCGAUUGCGAAGGCAGAUUACUAACAAUAUACUGACGCUGAGGGACGAAAGCGUGGGUAGCGAACAGGAUUAGAUACCCUGGUAGU
rnacentral:rRNA from 1 species